ACGAACACUGGCGGCCGUGGAUAAGACAUGCAAGUCGAACGGGGUAUCUGGUGUAAGCAAUACAUCAGGUAUUCAGUGGCGUAAGGGUGCGUAACACGUGGGCAACCUGCCCGAAGAGUUGGGGAUAGCCCGCCGAAAGGCGGAUUAAUACCGAUGUGGCGAGGGGAAGACAUCUUCUCGUAGCUAAAGCCGGGGGUAACCUGGCGCUCUUGGAUGGGCCCGCGGCCUAUCAGCUAGUUGGGUGAGGUAACGGCUCACCAAGGCUAUGACGGGUAGCUGGUCUGAGAGGACGAACCAGCCCACUACUGGAACUGAGACACGGUCCAGACACCUACGGGUGGCAGCAGUCGAGAAUUUUUCUCAAUGGGGAGAGAACCCUGAAGGAGCGACGCCCGCGUGGAGUAUGAAGGUCUUCGGAUUGUAAACUCCUGUCAUUGGUGAACAAAGCCCUCGGUUAACUGCCGUUGGGUUUGAUAGUAGCCGAAGAGGAGAGGACGGCUAACUCUGUGCCAGAGCCGCGGUAAUACAGAGGUCUCAGCGUUUGUUCGGAUUCAUUGGGGCGUAAGGGUGCGUAGGUGGCGGGGUAAGUCUGGUGUGAAAUCCCCGGGGGCUCAACCCCGGAACUGCACUGGAUACUGCUUUGCUAGAGUACUGGAGAGGGAACUGGAAUUUACGGUGUAGCAGUGAAAUGCGUAGAUAUCGUAAGGAGACCAGUGGCGAAGGCGAUUUCCUGGACAGUUACUGACACUGAGGCCGAAGGCCAGGGGAGCAAACGGGAUUAGAUACCCCGGUAGUCCUGGCAGUAAACGUGCGCGUUUGGUGUAGGAGGAUUCGACCCCUUCUGUGCCGGAGCUAACGCGUUAAACGCGCCGCCUGGGGAGUACGGUCGCAAGAUUAAAACUCAAAGAAAUUGACGGGGGCCCGCACAAGCGGUGGAGUAUGUGGCUUAAUUCGAUGCACACGCGAAGAACCUUACCUGGCUUGACAUGUAUCUCUAAGUCGGUGAAAGCCGGCGAGUCCCGCAAGGGACAAUUUACACAGGUGCUGCAUGGCUGUCGUCAGCCUCGUGUCGUGAGAUGUUGGGUUAAGUCCCGCAACGAGCGCAACCCCUGUGGCCUGUUGCCACCUACCUUAUGGUAGAGGCACUCUGGCCAGACCGCCCUGUGAAACGGGGAGGAAGGUGGGGAUGACGUCAAGUCAGCAUGGCCCUUACGUCCAGGCUGCCACACGUACUACAAUGCUCAGUAACAGAAUGAACCGAAACCGCGAGGUGGAGGAAAUCCCUAAAACUGAGCUCAAUCGGAUCGCAGGCUGCAACUCGCCUGCGUGAAGCCGGAAUCGCUAGUAAUGGCGCAUCAGCUACGGCGCCGUGAAUACGUUCCCGGGCCUUGUACACCGAACCGCCCGUCACAUCAUGGGAGUCGUUUGUUCCCGAAAUACGUGCGCUAACCCAGCAUGGGAGGCAGCGUCCUAAGGAAUGAGCGGUAACUGGGAUG
rnacentral:rRNA from 1 species